GGAGAGGUCGCAUAGUGGCCUAGUGCAGCGGUUUUGAAAACCGCCAGGGGCGAAAGCUUCUCGCGAGUUCGAAUCUCGCCCUCUCCGCCA
rnacentral:tRNA from 1 species